rnacentral:rRNA from 1 species
GUCCUACGGGACGCAGCAGUGGGGAAUAUUGCACAAUGGGGGAAACCCUGAUGCAGCGACGCCGCGUGAGUGAAGAAGUAUUUCGGAAUGUAAAGCCCUUGCAGCAGGGAAAAAAAUGACGGUACCUGACCAAGAAGCCCCGGCUAACUACGGGCCAGCAGCCGCGGUAAUACGGAGGGGGCAAGCGUUAUCCGGAUUUACUGGGGGUAAAGGGAGCGUAGACGGCAGAGCAAGGCUGGA